rnacentral:rRNA from 1 species
AUUGAACGCUGGCGGCAGGCCUAACACAUGCAAGUCGAACGGUAACAGGAAGCAGCUUGCUGCUUUGCUGACGAGUGGCGGACGGGUGAGUAAUGUCUGGGAAACUGCCCGAUGGAGGGGGAUAACUACUGGAAACGGUAGCUAAUACCGCAUAACGUCGCAAGACCAAAGAGGGGGACCUUAGGGCCUCUUGCCAUCGGCUGUGCCCAGAUGGGAUUAGCUAGUAGGUGGGGUAACGGCUCACCUAGGCGACGAUCCCUAGCUGGUCUGAGAGGAUGACCAGCCACACUGGAACUGAGACACGGUCCAGACUCCUACGGGAGGCAGCAGUGGGGAAUAUUGCACAAAGGGCGCAAGCCUGAUGCAGCCAUGCCGCGUGUAUGAAGAAGGCCUUCGGGUUGUAAAGUACUUCCAGCGGGGAGGAAGGGAGUAAAGUUAAUACCUUUGCUCAUUGACGUUACCCGCAGAAGAAGCACCGGCUAACUCCGUG